rnacentral:lncRNA from 1 species
AUGUUUUUUCUCAGAUAUUCCCAGUUUUUUCCCAGUUUUUCCCCAAUUUUUCCCAUUUUUCCCAGUUUUUCCCAUUCUCCCCCCUUUUUUCCUUUUUUCCCAUUUCUCCCUGUUUUUUCCCAUUUCUCCCAGUUUUUCCCCAAUUUUUCCCAGUUUUUCCCCAAUUUUUCCCAGUUUUUCCCCAAUUUUUCCCAGUUUUUCCCCAUUUUUUCCCAGUUUUUCCCCAUUUUUCCCAGUUUUUCCCCAUUUUUUCCCAGUUUUUCCCAUUUUCUCGCCAUUUUUGCAUGUUUUUUCCCAGAUUUUCCCAGUUUUUUCCCCUUUUUUUCCCAUUUUUCCCAGUUUUUCCCAUUCUCCCCCCUUUUUUUCCUUUUUUCCCAUUUCUCCCUGGUUUUUCCCAUUUCUCCCUGGUUUUUCCCCAUUUUUUCCCAGUUUUUCCCCAUUUUUUCCCAUUUUUCCCCAUUUUCCCCAGUUUUUCCCCAAUUUUUCCCAGUUUUUCCCCACUUUUUCCCAGUUUCUCCCCAUUUUUUCCCAGUUUUUCCCAGUUUGUCCCCCAUUUUUCCCAUUUUCUCGCCAUCUUUGCAUGUUUUUUCUCAGAUAUUCCCAGUUUUUUCCCAGUUUUUCCCCAAUUUUUCCCAUUUUUCCCAGUUUUUCCCAUUCUCCCCCCUUUUUUCCUUUUUUCCCAUUUCUCCCUGUUUUUUCCCAUUUCUCCCAGUUUUUCCCCAAUUUUUCCCAGUUUUUCCCCAAUUUUUCCCAGUUUUUCCCCAAUUUUUCCCAGUUUUUCCCCAUUUUUUCCCAGUUUUUCCCCAUUUUUCCCAGUUUUUCCCCAUUUUUUCCCAGUUUUUCCCAUUUUCUCGCCAUUUUUGCAUGUUUUUUCCCUUUUUCCCAGUUUUUCCCCAUUUUUCCCAGUUUUUCCCCAUUUUUUCCCAGUUUUUCCCAUUUUCUCGCCAUUUUUGCAUGUUUUUUCCCAGAUUUUCCCAGUUUUUUCCCCUUUUUUUCCCAUUUUUCCCAGUUUUUCCCAUUCUCCCCCCUUUUUUUCCUUUUUUCCCAUUUCUCCCUGGUUUUUCCCAUUUCUCCCUGGUUUUUCCCCAUUUUUUCCCAGUUUUUCCCCAUUUUUUCCCAUUUUUCCCCAUUUUCCCCAGUUUUUCCCCAAUUUUUCCCAGUUUUUCCCCAAUUUUUCCCAGUUUCUCCCCAUUUUUUCCCAGUUUUUCCCAGUUUGUCCCCCAUUUUUCCCAUUUUCUCGCCAUCUUUGCAUGUUUUUUCUCAGAUAUUCCCAGUUUUUUCCCAGUUUUUCCCAAUUUUUCCCAUUUUUCUCAGUUUUUCCCAUUCUCCCCCCUUUUUUUCCUUUUUUCCCAUUUCUCCCUGUUUUUUCCCAUUUUUCCCAGUUUUUCCCCAUUUUUUCCCAUUUUUUCCCCAGAUUUUCCCCAUUUUUCCCAGUUUUUCCCCAUUUUUCCCAGUUUUUCCCCAUUUUUUCCCAGUUUUUCCCAUUUUCUCGCCAUUUUUGCAUGUUUUUUCCCAGAUUUUCCCGGUUUUUUCCCCCUUUUUUCCCAUUUUUCCCAGUUUUUCCCAUUUUCCCCCCUUUUUUUCCUUUUUUCUCAUUUCUCCCUGGUUUUUCCCGUUUCUCCCUGGUUUUUCCCAUUUCUCCCUGGUUUUUCCCAUUUCUCCCUGGUUUUUCCCCAGGUUUUCCCAGCUUUUCCCACUUUUUUUCCCGUUUCCCCCUUUUUUCCCCUUUUUCUCCCAUUUCUCCCCAUUUUUUUCUGGUUUUUUUCUCAUUUUUUCCCAUUUUUCCCUGUUCAUUUCUCUUUUUUUUCCCCCAGUUUUUCCCCUCUUUUUUCCCAUUUUUUCCCAAUUUUCCCCCAGUUUUCCCCCCCAUUUUCCCCCCUGCUGUUCAUUCCCGGUGUUCAUUCCCAUUCCGGGUGUUCAUUCCCGGUGUUUAUUCCCAUUCCUGCUGUUUAUUCCAGGUGUUCAUUCCCAUUCCUGCUGUUUAUUCCAGGUGUUCAUUCCCAUUCCCGGUGUUUAUUCCCGGUGUUUAUUCCCAUUCCCGGUGUUCAUUCCGGGUGUUCAUUCCCAUUCCUGCUGUUUAUUCCAGGUGUUCAUUCCCAUUCCGGGUGUUCAUUCCGGGUGUUCAUUCCCAUUCCCGGUGUUCAUUCCGGGUGUUCAUUCCCAUUCCGGGUGUUCAUUCCCAUUCCCGUUGUUUAUUCCGGGUGUUCAUUCCCAUUCCCGGUGUUUAUUCCCAUUCCCAUUGUUCAU